rnacentral:misc_RNA from 1 species
AAGUCGUAACAAGGUUUCCGUAGGUGAACCUGCGGAAGGAUCAUUAACAAAUAAUCCGAUAUCAUUAUUUCUUCAACCACUUGUGCAUUGUUGAAGUAUGCUUUGGUAGGGUGUUGAGGUGACUGUGGGCAGCACGGUCUCUCGAUUUGCCAGAGCUUUUACCAUUACUAAGCAAACAAGCAAACAAACAAACAAACAAACAAACAAACGUCUUAUAAAUCUGACUGAACUUCAUUUUACGAAUGAGAAAAUACAUACAACUUUUAACAAUGGAUCUCUUGGCUCUU